ACGCUGGCGGCGCGUCUUAAACAUGCAAGUCGAACGAUCUGUAGCAAUACAGGGAGUGGCGGACGGGUGAGGAACACGUAGGAAUCUACCUUGAAGAGCGGGACAACUUUGGGAAACCGGGGCUAAUACCGCAUAGUACAGAGAUGUUAAAGGGCUAGCAAUAGUCGCUUCGAGAUGAGCCUGCGGUCUAUCAGCUUGUUGGUGAGGUAAUGGCUCACCAAGGCUACGACGGGUAGCCGGUCUGAGAGGAUGAUCGGCCACACUGGCACUGAGACACGGGCCAGACUCCUACGGGAGGCAGCAGUUAAGAAUCUUGCGCAAUGGGGGAAACCCUGACGCAGCGACGCCGCGUGAAGGAUGAAGGCUUUCGGGUUGUAAACUUCGGUAGACUGGGAAGAAGAAAUACGUUCGUUGAGGGCGUAUAGUGACGGUACCAGUCUGAAGCCCCGGCUAAUUACGUG
rnacentral:rRNA from 1 species